rnacentral:lncRNA from 1 species
AACUGUCUGACGAGAAGCAGUUUCCUGUACCAUACACGAUGAUGGAGCUAUUACAUUUGCCGCAUGACUGACUUGCUGGUGGUACCAUAAAAUGUGCACUGGUAUCCAAUCGAUAACGGUCACCAGAGACGCGCUGGUACACUAUCGAUGCAGGUCAACAUAGUAAUCAACUGUUUUCAACAAGAUAUAUUUCAAGUACAGAAGUGAGAAAUAUCUGCAAAGGGAAGAUCCAAGUAUGACGAUUACACGACAGACCAGGCACAAGCACAUAAGCCUGACACCAUCACAGCUGCCCUGACACAAACCUAGUUAAACAAAUUAGACAUAAGCUGAUAUGUACAUAAUUAUAACCCCAUGUACAAAGUAUUCGGGGCUAUAUUGGAGUCACACAUGUCCGUCCGUCCGUCCGUUUGUCCAUCCAUCCAUCAUGUCCACUACAUAUUGUCUAAAUGGCUUGGAAGAUAUUUAGCUCGACUAAUCGAAGAAUAAGGGGGAUUAUCGUACUUUCCCUGGCGACGGCGGCACCCUCACCGAUGCAUUCAAGUUAAAACAAGCUUCUCAUUGUCAUUCUAUCUUCCUAACUACUUCCUCUAUUAACAUCAAACUUCACAUAAGUGUUAGUCUUGAUAAGGGGCAUACAUCUGUUAGCUUAAGAGUCAGACAUCCUAAACGUCAAGGUCACUGGGUUAAUAUUUUGAUAGAGCUGGUUAAAGUUUUACGACAAGCUUCUCCAUUUCAAUAUAUCUUCUUAGCUACUGCCCUUUAAUCAUUAAACCUUACAUGAGGAUUAAUCUUAUAAGGUGACAGAAAUCAUUUGGUUUAGGGUCAGGUAUCUCAAAGGUCAAGGUCACUUGGGUCAGAUUUUUAUAAUAAUGUUGGUUAUAGAUUUAUGGCAUUCUUAUUAAUCCGAUAAUGUUAAUGAAACAUGAUGUUUCUUAGCACUGGUAUACCUCAUAUCCUACCCAUACUUCCUCUUCACCAAUUCCAACACCUACCCAAAAAUACAUUUCUUGCACAAUGUCAUACCUGAUAUUCCCCUCAUCUUUGCUACCCACCUGUCUCCAUGUACCUCCACCAACAUCGUUUCACCAACUCUCGCCCCAAACAAAAAAUAUUUUACCUUUUCUUUACAAUUAAUUAGAUUGUAUAUGCUGUAUCUCAUAUGUUUAUAUGAUGUUUAAGCCAGUAUCCUUCAUUCCCUCGCUUCUAUUCCCACCCCCACCCACUUCCAUUUUUUUCAUAUAUUUGUUAACAUCUCUCACAUAUCUAAUCUCAUACCCCAUUCCCUAUUUGCAGAUGCACUCUCGCUUUCUUUUAUAUUUAUUUUACAUCUUUCACACUUAUUUAUAUUUCAUGUGGAAUCUUAGUAUCCCUCAUAACCCCUACCCCACCCUCGCACACUGCUUCCCCUAGCAUUUCCGCCUUACAUUUCUCACACAAGCUUAUAUCUCAUAUUGUUUCUUAGAUUCCCUCAUUCCAAACUCCCGUCGCACCUACACCCCUCUCUC